rnacentral:rRNA from 1 species
AUGAACGCUGGCGGCGUGCCUAAUACAUGCAAGUCGAGCGAACAGACGAGGAGCUUGCUCCUCUGACGUUAGCGGCGGACGGGUGAGUAACACGUGGAUAACCUACCUAUAAGACUGGGAUAACUUCGGGAAACCGGAGCUAAUACCGGAUAAUAUAUUGAACCGCAUGGUUCAAUAGUGAAAGACGGUUUUGCUGUCACUUAUAGAUGGAUCCGCGCCGGAUUAGCUAGUUGGUAAGGUAACGGCUUACCAAGGCGACGAUGCGUAGCCGACCUGAGAGGGUGAUCGGCCACACUGGAACUGAGACACGGUCCAGACUCCUACGGGAGGCAGCAGUAGGGAAUCUUCCGCAAUGGGCGAAAGCCUGACGGAGCAACGCCGCGUGAGUGAUGAAGGUCUUCGGAUCGUAAAACUCUGUUAUUAGGGAAGAACAAAUGUGUAAGUAACUAUGCACGUCUUGACGGUACCUAAUCAGAAAGCCACGGCUAACUACGUG